UUCGCUUCUCGGCUAUCUGAGCUAAAAUCAUGUGUAGUAUCUGUUCUUUGCAGUGUAAUUUCUGCAAUGGUCUCUAAACUGAGACCAAUGAAAUUACCUGUGUUUUUCACCUCCGGACGGGUGCUGUGAGCUUGCUCAACCCCGUCCACGGGUUGGCCUCGUAUUGCAUUCCAAAUGUUAACAGAGGUUCAAUUAAU
rnacentral:snRNA from 1 species